rnacentral:misc_RNA from 1 species
GGGGACUAUCCCUCAGUCACUUUCGGGACUUCCAAACUUGAUGAACCUUCAGCUUGGUUCCAACAGUCUUACUGGCCAAAUUCCUGAACAGUUGUUCCAAGUUCCAAAAUACAAUUUUACAGGGAAUCAUUUGAAUUGUGGCUUAAAUCUCACUCAUCAUUGUGAAUCUGCUAGUGGAGGUUCUCCUAGUAAACCAAAGACUGGUCUCAUUGUUGGUAUUGCUGUUGGAUUUCUUGGACUUCUCCUUCUUGGAGGAUCUGUGUUAUUGUUCUGUAGAAGACGGC